rnacentral:rRNA from 1 species
GGAGUCUAGCAUGUGCGCGAGUCAUUGGGACGAGCGAAACCUAAAGGCGAAAUGAAAGUGAAGGCGCGCCUUGCGCGCGCCGAGGGAGGAUGGGCCGCGUUCGUCGCGGCCUCGCACUCCCGGGGCGUUUCGUUCUCAUUGCGAGAAGAGGCGCACCCAGAGCGUACACGCUGGGACCCGAAAGAUGGUGAACUAUGCCUGGUCAGGACGAAGUCAGGGGAAACCCUGAUGGAGGUCCGUAGCGAUUCUGACGUGCAAAUCGAUCGUCGGAACUGGGUAUAGGGGCGAAAGACUAAUCGAACCAUCUAGUAGCUGGUUCCCUCCGAAGUUUCCCUCAGGAUAGCUGGCGCUCGCUUUGCGAGUCUCAUUCGGUAAAGCGAAUGAUUAGAGGCAUUGGGGUCGAAACGGCCUCAACCUAUUCUCAAACUUUAAAUGGGUGAGAACUCCGGCUUGCUUAAACAGUGAAGCCGCGAGUAUUUCUUGAAAAAGAAGGAUCAGAGUGCCAAGUGGGCCACUUUUGGUAAGCAGAACUGGCGCUGUGGGAUGAACCAAACGCAGAGUUAAAGCGCCCAAAUCGACGCUUAUGGGAUACCAUGAAAGGCGUUGGUAACUUAAGACAGCAGGACGGUGGCCAUGGAA